GGAAGACGUCGGGCCGUUUGCAGACGUGAAACAGCAGUUCUCCAGUCUGCAAAGCAACCAGCAGCUCCCUCUGGAGAAGGAGGAUGUUGGGCAGUUUGCAGACUGAGAAGCCCAGCACCUCCCCCCCCCCCUUGGCUGCAACUUGCCUUGCAGCAGCCAAACAGAAGGAAUCAGGCUCCACGUGGAGCUGGCUUCGGUCCCUUUGAUCCUUUUGCCUCCCCUGUAAAGCAAGCAGUGGGAUUGGGGGGGAAGGGAGAAGGGAGAAGGGGGAAAGGAGCGAGGGAGGGUGGGGAGAAGCCAAGCCACUGUGACCCACUCACUGCCUUCCCAUUUUAAUUCUCGGAACAAUCCAGUAAGGAACACUAGCACCAUCAUCUCCAUAUUACAGAUGGAGAGUGAAAGCCAACCAAGUUCACAGCAGAGGUAAGACAGUUUGCAACACCAGCUCUUGUUCUUGUGAAAUAUUCUAUUUGUGUUGAAGAAAUUAAUCUGCUAUUUUAUGUACACUUACUUUGGAGUAUGAUCCAUUGAGCAUUGUGAGUAAGUAUCCACUGGAUUACUCAUUUGCCUCUUCAUGUCUGUGUUCAUUUGCUGUAGUCGAUGAAAUGAAUAUGUAAAUCUGGAGAUCUUCAAAGGACAGUUGUUUUACUGCACCAUAUUAACAUGGCUAUCCCCUGAAACAAACACAAUAUUCUGUAUAAUAAAGUGUUGACUGCAUAGUAAACCUAAAACUGAUACAGUAGAGUCUCACUUAUCCAACAUAAACGGGCCAGCAGAACGUUGGAUAAGCAAAAAUGUUGGAUAAUAAGGAGGGAUUAAGGAAAAGCCUAUUAAAUGUCAAAUUAUGUUAUGAUUGUACAA
rnacentral:lncRNA from 11 species